CAGACCGCACGAAACAGCGCUCCUCCCCGAUCCCCUCGACUAAACGCCGCUGCCCUCGUGCGAUCCCGAUCCCCUUGACUAAACGCAGCGUGCGAUCCCCUCCCCUCGAGUAAACGCCGCCGAUGACCUCCCGGAUCUUGUGCGAUCUAUCUCGCUGCCGCCUACGUCCGGGGUGGCACCGUCCGGGGUCGAGGCCAACAUCGGCGUCAUCAAGUGCGGACGUCGAGGCCCCCGACUCGUGGGCCGCCGCCGCCAUCACUUCACUCCGGGUCAGGGCGUGGCUGUGACCGCCGUGCGGGCAACGAGGAGCGCCGCAAGGGCGUACCGUGGAAGGCCUGGAUCAAGGAGGAGUACAUAUCGAGCAAGAUAAAGUGUGACGUGUGGGAGAUUGGCCGGGGAGGAUACCGCCGUAGGUGACGCCAUGAACCGAGGCUGAUGUUGGAGAGCCGCGGCUCUGCUUGGGAGCCGACCGGUGAGAGGCAGCUCUCCGAGGUGGUGUUGCCCGUGGCGGGGAUGGACAAUCCAGUGGCCGGCCCGCACCCCUGGACGCUCCUGGGGCGGGCUGCGGUCAUGAGAAUUCUGGGCCAUGAUAGUGAGUGUGAUGGGUGCUGGAGCAGCAUGAUGCCAACGACCACGAGCUUUGGGUGCUUAGUGUGUUGGCGAGGCAUAGAAGGGAUGAGAGCGAGAUAGACAUGUGUGUGCAUGGAUUGAGAGAGAGGGAGGGAGAGAGAAGAAGAAUUGUGCUGCUGCAGGAACAGGUGUACGUUCUAUAACAUCUAUACUUUAGUUGGAAAUGGCAGCUUCACUGAACUGCAUCAGUUGUAAGCUUCCCUAAAUUCAUAUAUAUCUAUAAAGUUCAGCCAAUUCCUUUGAGGUAUUAACAAGUAGCCGAGCUUUUGGUGUCAUCUCUACUCAGGGAAAUACAUGUCAAAUCCUCAUACAAAAUGUUGAUCUAUUGUUCUUCUAGAAUUAUAGAUUUCCGAAUAAUUAGAUGGCCAGUUAUGCAACACAAUAUUCCCAUAGUAUUGAAAUCUUAUGUUCUCCAAAGUGUCCUUCAGCAAAUGGCACUUGAACUUAAUAUGGGAUACUCCAAAUCUAUAAGAGCAGGCUAUAUCUGAUAUUUUCUUCAUACAAAGUCGGCAGACUUGAUUUGUGUUUUCCCCUACUUGUCAAUAUGAUGGCCCGUUGUAAAUAAAUGAGGCUUGGACAUCACUUGUACUUGGGAACUACUUUUCAGUGACAGCUGUAUUGACGAAGGUACUCUUUGUUUUCUUAAAGAUUGAUUUCUUCGGUGGUGUGUGUUUUACUUUACAGUUUUGAUAAGAUUCCAUGGCCAAUACACUUUUUUCACAGUUUACAGCAGAUUACAGCAGCCUCAAAGGUAAAAUGAUCUGAAUAUUUUUUUCACAAUACACUGGUAGUACAUAGUAAUAGCCCUCUUAAUAAUUUCUAUAUAGAAGUAAGAUCUGAACAUUUUGUUGAGUUGUUUUUGCACCAGAUCGUUGGCCAUUAACGGUUAUCUAUGGCACUAAAACUUGUUGAUCUCAACACAUUCACGUCACAACACUUGUUGGCUGAAACAUGUGCAUUAGCACCAAAGAAGUUGAGGUCAAAUUAAUGAGGAGUUGUGUGAUCUGAGGAGAAACUAUUCUCUUGCAAAUCGGAUAGUUGUUGUAGGAAUUAAAAGGCACAUGAUUGUACUGGGAUUUUGUUUCUACACGUUCCUCGGCCCUAAUGUCUACAUGAGGUGUGAGUUCAACGGGUCGAGGAAAUCACAUUACUAUAAAAAUGAUGCCGCAGCAAAGAAAAUGCUGUCAGCCUUGGACGAUCCAUUCACUCGAUUCUUGAAACCAUUACCUUUUUUGAAGCAAGAAUAGCUAGCACCCAAGGUGCCCUCGCAGGUGUAGGUUUAUCCAUUGGCUACCCGUUGGAGCAUCACUUGCAGGGCUCUCUGUAAUGUCACUUUUUGUAGAAAUGACUCUCUAGAGACGCGACAUAAGAGCGCAAAAACAUUUGACAUCAGAUCGCUUAUGAUAACACAUCCAAGGAAGGAAGGAGAUUGAGGUCGGCGCCUCCUGAAGGCAUGCAUGCUUGUCACUGAGAGAGGGAAGGGCAUCUCUUUUUUUGGGUUGCAAUUUCCACCUUGUUGUUGGGUGAGCUGAUUUGUUGUUUGUCAUACCUCUUGUGGAUAAUCAGACAUGGGGUGCAUGGCAAAAUUAGGACAGACUGAAGGCAGCAGAUUCCGUGUCGGCCGUGCACUUUGAGGAGGACAUUGUCUUUGUAUAAGUGCCCUACAAUCGUCCCUUUAUAGCCACAGAUAAGGCCUUCAGAAUCAAAGGUUCAGGAGGACUUUUGUUGCACUAAUGCUUCUUCGUUGACCAUCUCGCCGUUCUCCCUUGCAUAUGGAUAUGGCCGCAUAAAUCGCACCGAUGGAUCCAGUCCUUCGCCAGGUCCAACGUGCCUGCACCGGCCUCAAGCACGGGAGACACUAUAACCUUGUGAUCUAACUGGUUACCACAAUCAAAUCCAUUUUUGCCCAUUUAAAUUGGUUCGCUCAGUUUUGUUGAUAACUGAGUUUCAUUGGUUAUAUAUACUGAAGUGUCUUUGUCAUUUUGUUUUACAAUAUAUUCUAAUUGUCAGGAUUUUUGCUA